rnacentral:lncRNA from 1 species
CACGAGGGCCUCGUCAGGGAUAGAAGCGCAUCUCGUCGUGUCGCAAGAAUGGAUAUCGUUACAAGUACAUGUACUGAAAAAAAGAGAUAUAUAAAGAGUUGGCUUACACUCGCCACAAGAUACAUCAGAGUCACAUCAGUUCAUUACAUAAACAUCAAGAGUAAGAGCAGGGUCCGACUACGGACGAAAACAAACGACAAAAGAAGAACGACGUCCAUCCUUGCUAUCCCAGGCUGCCGGCCUGGACCCCAUCCUAGAUCGAUGAAGAAGAAGAAGAAGAGGCAACUCCAAAUGAACAAUCAACGCGCUCGCGUCAAGUAACCUUUACCUGUACCUACAACUGGUGUUGUAGUAAUCUGUGAGCCACAGGGGACUCAGCAAUCUCAUUUCCAAAGGUAUCAAGACUAGCAAAGCUUAAUGGGUGAGGCAUGGUUAAGUGGUGAGGUUGCAGCAGCGACUAAGCCUAUAUUUGGUGGCUAACUUACGAGUACAAGAAAUAAGAGGGGGGAGAUCUACGCAUAACGGACGUCACUACAGAUGAUCAAAAGAAUGAUCCUGAACACCUAUCUACGUCAGACAAAACCCCACCGUCUCCUCGAUCGGAGAAGGAACUCACGAAAGAGACAGUCACGGUUACGCACACAGUUGGCAAGUUUUAAUUAAGUUAACUUCAAGUUAUCUAGAACCAGUGUUAAAAAAAGUUUCCACGUUGCCACAUAACCGCGGGCACGGCUUUCCGAAAGAUUUAACCCUGCAGGGGUGCUCCAACU